UACAGAGGUCCCAAGCGUUGUUCGGAUUCAUUGGGCGUAAAGGGUGCGUAGGCGGCGCGGUAAGUCGGGUGUGAAAUCUCGGAGCUUAACUCCGAAACUGCAUUUGAUACUGGCGUGCUUGAGGACUGGAGAGGAGACUGGAAUUCAUGGUGUAGCAGUGAAAUGCGCAGAUAUCAGGAGGAACACCCGUGGCGAAAGCGGCUCUCUGGGACGGUACUGACGCUGAGACGCGAAAGCGUGGGGAGCAAACAGG
rnacentral:rRNA from 1 species